CGAGUGAGCGACGGAGCCGUGGCUGUUGAACGCUCGACACUCGUACUCGCCGUCGUCGCUCUGUGUGAUGCUGUCGAAGCUGAGCCAGCGGUCAGAGUUCUCCAGCUGUCCACUCGUCUCCUCCAGGCUGCUGUCCUUCUUCUUCCACUCCACCUUUGGAGUGGGACUGGAGGACACAGAGACAGAAAUCAGGACAACAUCACCAUUUAUCGCCAUGGGGACGGAGAAUUAGAGGAGUCUCAGGGGAAGAAGAAGAAAGCCCAUAAUUAGAGGGGGUACCCUGAUCACCUGAUCACCUGCACUGUAUGUAUAAAUGUUGUAGUUGACGAUGGGUCAUUAACCUGGUUAACUUGUUUAAUUCCAGUUCAGUUUCAUCAGUUACAUUUGUGUCAAUAUACCAGCUGCUCUGAGGCGGUGGGCGGAGCCUGUUGUGACAGG